UUAUUUAGAAAAAGUUUGCAACUCCAAGUGUCAUUGUCACCGUCAGCUGCUUGUGACAUAUAUAUUGUAAAAUAAAAAUUCCUAAAAUAAAGUUUAAUGUACUUAUAAGUAGGUACUAGUUUUUUUUUUUACAUUUAAAACUCCGAAUUACUACUCUAAGUGUAUUAUUAAUUAUUAUUUAUAAUAUUGCAUAGUGAUCUAAUGAGAACAAUGUUGAAAGGGUUGCUAAUAUUCGGAACUGGCGUCUACACCGGUGUUUAUAUAGCACAAAACUAUCAGAUUGAUAAAGUUGAAGACCCAAAGGUAUUACUGGAAAAAGCACAAGCCUUCAUAAAGGCUAAACUAGACGAAAUAAAUGAUGGCAAAAAGGGAAAGGAUUGAAAUGCACACACUACUAGAUUGAUCAUAUUUUAUUUAAUGUAAAUAUUGCUAAAUUGAGUUUAAAUAAAUGAAUGUAGGAAUAUAACAAAA